GCCCCUGUAACUCAGAUGGAUUAGAGUGUCGGACUGCUAAUCUGAAAGUCGGGAGUUCGAAUCUCCCCAGGGGCACC
rnacentral:tRNA from 1 species